GAGCGUAGAUUAGGAAGGGAGCCGAAGUGUGUAGGACUUGACGUCGUCGGCCGGGGACCUAUGUGAAGUCGCGCCUUGGCGCCGCCGGUGGCGAUAGUGAGGGGCCGCUGGCUAGGUUUAACGUCGAAGGUAACCGGUUGCCUAGUCUCUCGCGCUCUGGUCGGCCUAGGCUCCAAAUAAAAUUAGUUUCUAGACUUCUCCUCGCACGCGGGGCAAGUCCUAGACUAACAAACGACUGAUCAAUUAAAAACACCUACUCUCUUAAAAGACCACGAAACACCUACAGGACGACCUACCUCCGACCUACAGAGUGCACCUUCUUAACUAAGUACACCGAACACCCCCACUUACCGCAUCGUAGGGUAGCAGCUAGAAGUCGUGUGAGACAACUAGGAUGGCGAUCGCCGCGGGUCAGUCGGCAUUUGUCUAGUUGUAUAAAGAAAUUAAUAAAAACAAUCACCUGUAUACUAGUUUACCUAAGUGUUUAUCACUAAAGUCGACGAUAAAGAAGAAACCCUUUCAUCAUAUAUGGGUUGUUUUUCCUUGUCAUGGAGACCAAAGAUCAAAUUAGUGAUACAACUUUGGAAACCAACUUCCUAGUUCUUGCCGUGGAACGACGGUAGAAGAAAUAUACAAGUCAUAACAGAGUUAUACUUUAACGACGAUCUUAAAAGAUAAAACCUUUCCUUGUAUGUACAGGGUGAAGUUGUUCACGACAUAAAAAGACGCCUCUGUAUGCUGGUGUAAUGUUUUACAU
rnacentral:rRNA from 1 species